UCCUCUUGAAAGUCGAGGGGAAACGGGCGCCAAGCUUGCUUGGCGCAGCCGCCGACCGGCGAAUGGGGGAGUAACGCCUUUCCAACCUGGCUUCAAGCAGGGAACAGGCUUUCAAAGGAAAGAUUAAUACCCUAUGUGGCCCUCGAAAGACAUCAAAGGAGGACAAAAGAUUCAUCGCUUGAAGAUGGGGAUGCGUCUGAUUAGGCAGUUGGCGGGACAAGGGCCCACCAAACCGACAAUCAGUAGGGGUUCUGAGAGGAAGGUCCCCCACAUUGGAACUGAGACACGGCCCAAACUCCUACGGGAGGCAUUUUUGAGGAAUAUUGGUCAAUGGGCGGAAGCCUGAACCAGCCAAGUAGCGUGCAGGAUGACGGCCCUAUGGGUUGUAAACUGCUUUUGAAGGGAAGUAAAGUGAGUGACGUGUCACUCAUUGCAAGUACCCUUGGAAUAAGGACCGGCUAAUUCCGUG
rnacentral:rRNA from 1 species